ensembl:lncRNA novel transcript, antisense to CBLN1
AGGCGCGGCGAGGCGGGUGGCGCGCGGCAGCAGGGUUGGGCUCUCGCCGUGAGUCGACGAAGGGAGCGCGGGCGCGCGCCCGCGUCCGCGCACUGAGAGUCGCCUCGGCCGCUCGCUUUCUCGACUCCCGCCUCGCGCCUCGAUCCUGUUCCGCCUCCCUCGGCCCUCCUGCCCGCCCCCACUCGUCGGCCCUCAGCUCAGAGACCUAAUAGGAUGGGGUCUUAGAGAAACAUCUUUUGAGCCACAGACUUCUUUGUUACCAGAAGGAAAAUGAAAGAAGAAAUUUAAAUACCACUUGAAGAGAGAGAGUGUGAAGAAAUGACCCUGAAAAGCCUCUGGCAGAGGAUUCUUCUUUCAGGAUGGUGUCGCCUCCUCAGCAGCCCAUCCUCCUCCCCUGGACUCAAGCUCUCAUUCCAGUAACACUCCUUCCUCCUUCUCCAUCUUCAGGGGGAGGUUUGCCAGUCGGUGAGAACCCUUUGUUAAGCUGUGUAACCUCUGUGCAUAGUUUCCUCAUCAGCAAAGUCAGAAAAAGUAUGUACCUGAAGGACUGAUUGUAAGGCUGGGAUGAGAGAAUCCAUGUGAUCAGCCCUCACCAACAGGUGCUGCCCAGUUCAUGAGUGCUGCUGCUGUCCUGCCCAAGUACCCAGCUUGCAGAGUGCCAGAGUUAGAGUCCCAGGGGUGUUCUCCACAGCUGCAUGCUUGAUCCAGGCCUAUCAGGUGUUAUUUGUUGACGGAACCAGGCAUCAUCAGCAAACAAAACUGACAAAGCUUCCUGCCCUCUGUGGAAGGCAUCUGAGGAAGAGACUGGAUUUUGUAGCAACAUGUUAUUCUCAUUAUAAACUUUAUCAUUGGAAUACUAAAGCCAAAUCAUCCCCCAUCUCCUUGAUCAGGAUACCCACUUAAUCUAGGCAGCUACACAAUUGUGAGAGCCUUUGUUUUUUUCUGCUGAAACAUCCUUAAAAAGAUACCUCACAACCCAAGAUUUGGCUUUUCUUAAAUACGAUUUUUAAUUUUUUUCAUUUCUAUCUAGAGAUUUAAUUGGAAAUGGAAAAUCAUCAAUUUUCCAAUUAAAUGUCUGUUCCAAUCAACAUUAUACCUUUUAGGUUGUCAUUGUCAUUUUUAAGUUUAAGCAACUUUAAGGAUUUUGAAUCUGGCUGCCUGUAAAUUAAAGGUGAAAGUAAUCAUUGUGUUGGAUUGGAACAUUUUGUCAAUUGAGAGUGGUUUCCUUGUUCUUAGUGUAUGAAAAGUUUAUUUUUCUAAUGUAGAUUAAUAAAGGAGAUAAAGAAAAACAAAAUGAGUGAUUUAUGUGUGUGAGAAAAGAACCAUUUCCUCAAGGAUUAAAUAAAAUUC